rnacentral:rRNA from 1 species
UACGUAGGGGCGCAAGCGUUAUCCGGAAUUAUUGGGCGAAAGAGCUCGUAGGCGGUUUGUCGCGUCUGCCGUGAAAGUCCGGGGCUCAACUCCGGAUCUGCGGUGGGUACGGGCAGACUAGAGUGAUGUAGGGGAGACUGGAAUUCCUGGUGUAGCGGUGAAAUGCGCAGAUAUCAGGAGGAACACCGGUGGCGAAGGCGGUUCUCUGGGCAUUACCUGACGCUGAGGAGCGAAAGUGUGGGGAGCGAACAGG